UUCAAUAAGGAAAGCGAAGAUCAGCCGUUUGUAUGUGGGCACUUGAAUGGCUGGGAGCGAGUAGUGCAACCGACCCUAUUUUCG
rnacentral:ncRNA from 2 species